GGGGACCGUGGCUCAGUGGAAGAGUUUCUGCUUUGCAUGUAGAAGGUCGCAAGUUCAGUCCUUGGCAUCUCCA
rnacentral:tRNA from 1 species